rnacentral:rRNA from 1 species
UUGCCAGACUCCUACGGGAGGCAGCAGUGAGGAAUAUUGGUCAAUGGGCUUACGCCUGAACCAGCCAAGUCGCGUGAGGGAAGACUGCCCUAUGGGUUGUAAACCUCUUUUGUCAGGGAGCAACGCCGGCUACGUGUAGCCGGACUGAGAGUACCUGAAGAAAAAGCAUCGGCUAACUCCGUGCCAGCAGCCGCGGUAAUACGGAGGAUGCGUGCGUUAUCCGGAUUUAUUGGGUUUAAAGGGUGCGUAGGCGGAAUGCCAAGUCAGCGGUAAAAUCGCGGGGCUCAACCUCGCUCCGCCGUUGAAACUGGCGUUCUUGAGUGGGCGAGAAGUAUGCGGAAUGCGUGGUGUAGCGGUGAAAUGCAUAGAUAUCACGCAGAACUCCGAUUGCGAAGGCAGCAUACCAAACUACGACUGACGUUGAGGCACGAAAGCGUGGGGAGCAAACAGGAUUAGAUACCCUUGUAA